rnacentral:tRNA from 1 species
GGAGAUAUAGCUCUGUUGGUAGAGCACUUGCCUUGCAUGCACAAGGCCCUGGGUUCAAUCCUCAGCACAACCA